rnacentral:rRNA from 1 species
UACAGAGGUCUCAACCGUUGUUCGGAAUCACUGGGCGUAAGGGGUGCGUAGGCGGAUCUUUAAGUCAGGGGUGAAAUCCUGGAGCUCAACUCCAGAACUGCCUUUGAUACUGAGGAUCUCGAGUUCGGGAGAGGUGAGUGGAACUGCGAGUGUAGAGGUGAAAUUCGUAGAUAUUCGCAAGAACACCGGUGGCGAAGGCGGGAUCCUGGGCCAGUACUGACGCUGAGGAGCGGAAGCGUGGGGAGCAACAGG